rnacentral:rRNA from 1 species
GAUGAACGCUGGCGGUGUGUUUUAGGCAUGCAAGUCGAGCGACGCAACCUUCGGGUUGACGGAGCGGCAGACGGGUGAGUAACGCGUAGGAAUCUGCCCAUUGGUGGGGAAUAGCCCUCCGAAAGGAGGUGUAAUUCCGCAUAAGCCCGAAAGGGGAAAGGACGUAACUGUCCGCCGAUGGAGGAGCCUGCGUGCUAUCAGCUAGUUGGUGGGGUAAAAGCCUACCAAGGCGAUGACGGCUAGGGGGCGUGAGAGCGUGGCCCCCCACAAGGUCACUGAGACACGGGGCCUACACCUACGGGUGGCAGCAACCGAGAAUAUUGCGCAAUGGGGGAAACCCUGACGCAGCGACACCGCGUGUGGGAAGAAGGCCUUCGGGUUGUAAACCACUGUGGCAGGGGAAGAAUUUUGACGGUACCCUGCUAGAAAGCACCUGCUAACUACGUGCCAGAAGCCUCGGUAAUACGUAGGGUGCAAGCGUUAUCCGGAAUUACUGGGCGUAAAGCGUUCGUAGGUGGAUUUGUAAGUGGUGGGUUAAAGCCUCCGGCUCAACUGGAGACAAGCUCGUCAUACUGCAGAUCUAGAGUCAGUUCGGGGAAGUUGGAAUUCUCGGUGGAGGGGUGAAAUCCGUUGAUAUCGAGAGGAACGCCAAGGGUGAAGACAGGCUUCUAGGACUGUACUGACACUAAGGGACGAAAGCUAGGGUAGCAAAAGGGAUUAGAGACCCCUGUAGUCCUAGCCGUAAACUAUGGAUACUAGCUGGCCGAUUCGCUAAGAGUAAAACUUAAGGUUUUGCUUUUAGCGAGUUGGCUGGCGUAAGCUAACGCGUUAAGUAUCCCGCCUGGGGAGUACGGCCGCAAGGUUA